GCGACCAGUUCAGAGUGCACCCCGCCUCUUGCCCAGAGUCAGCUCCAGCACCCCCGCGGCCCCAGUGAGGAUAAGCGGUACUGAAAAUGAAUGAAUAUUAUCUUUUAUCCCAUGAAUACAAGACCUACGAAAAUUCAUUAUUUCUCUCCCCUUGGCCGCGCUACUUCCGAGUGAGUGCUUUAAUACACUGAGCCUUCAAUUGCCAGAGUUUUCUUUGCGGAAACUUUCUCCAAAAGAAGGCGUUCCCGCCACAAGGGCUGUUAAGAUUCUUGCUGGCAUCUUGCCUUCACUUGACUCUCUUAAUCAACAAGGCAGCUGUGGUCCCGACUUAACCACUCCCCUUCGUCGCACCCCGAUCCUGCCUGCCUUCCCUAAUCGCAUGCGAGCUGCCAUGACAGCUCUCAGUUUUUCUGUCUUCAACUGCUGUUGAUACCCUUGGCCGACAUGUUCAACGUCUGUUGACAGCUCUCUGGUCUUCAUGUUUGCUUAACAGCAAAUGCAGUUUUCACAGGUAAAACCCAGAGCCAAAAAAAGCACUAUCUAAUGUUUAAGCAAUCAAUCUGAAAUGCAACACCUGAGCAACUAGAAACACC